rnacentral:rRNA from 1 species
GACGAACCUUGCUAACGUUAUUCGGAAUUACUGGGCUUAAAGGGUGCGUAGGCGGUGCGGAAAGUCGGGUGUGAAAUCCCCCAGCUCAACUGGGGAAUUGCGCCUGAAACUGCCGUCAGCUCGAGGAAGGCAGAGGUACGCGGAACUUAGGGUGGAGCGGUGAAAUGCGUUGAUAUCUGCAGGAACACCCGUGGCGAAAGCGGCGCGCUGGACCACUACUGACGCUGAAGAACGAAAGCUAGGGGAGCAAACGG